UUAGUAGUGGCGAACGAAAAGGAAUGAGCCCAGCGCAGAACGUUCCGGGGCACUCGCCCUGAGAAUGAAUGUUGCGUUAAGGAUAUUGGCAUACACCCAUGGCAGUUACACUUUGCUAAGUCAGCCUCGAAUGGUUCUCGUGAAGCCGGUAACACGGUGAGACUCCAGGGAGGGUGUUAGACCCGUGUGAAGGUGCAAUCUGCUUGGGCAAGCCGAUAUCCCGAGAGUCGCGUUGUUUGAACAUGCAGCGCUAAGCAGGUCGUAGACUCGAUCUAAGGCUAAAUAUGUCCACAGAACCGAUAGUUAACAAGUACCGUGAGGGAAAGUUGAAAAGCACUCCGUAACGGAGAGUCAAAAGACCGUGAAACCACUCAGAGUAUAAGCCAAUGGUGUCUGGAAGGUCCUGUGCUUACAUCUUGGUGUCAAGGACUCAUGCGAACCUCAGCACUUGCGGGAGCAAUCUCCGUUGCUUUGGUAAGCUUGUCCGCUGAAGCACUCCGUUGACCCACCUGGCUCGUUGUGAGGUGUCCUGAGAGCAAAGCGAAGUGUUAAGAUUGGCUUGGAGUUGGGCGUGGGCGUCUCGAUGCCUUUCGCACUCUCCUUUUCGAGCACUUCUUCAGUUCUAUUCGCACAAAGUGUGGUAGUCUUGGAGUGUGCGCUGCUUGACGCUCUCUGGAACCAUCCUCUGCGACGAAGCUUCAAUGCCUUAGUGAGCGGCCGUCUUCCUCCUCGGGAGUCGGUACAUUGGCGCGGCUUGCACACUGUCGGUGCUCCGCUGUUCAACUCUGGCGCAAGGUGUUACGUCCGAUACCAUUGGUCACGUCUCGAAACACGGGCCAAGGAGUAUAGCGUGUGUGCAAGUCUAAGGGUUCCACAAAACCUGGAGGCGUAGUGAAAGCGAGUUAUGGUGUCUCACUGGACUGAUGGAGAAGGCAGUGAUGCGUGAUCCCGCAAGUCCCGGACUCGUCGUCUGCACUGCUUCGGUUGUGUUAGCGCGAGCACCGCAGAGCACAUACGCUAUGACCCGAAAGAUAGUGAACUAUGCUUGGCGAGGGUGAAGCCCCAGGAAACUGGGGUGGAGGCCCGUAGCCGUUGUGACGUGCAAAUCCA
rnacentral:rRNA from 1 species